rnacentral:rRNA from 1 species
UACGUCGGUGGCAAGCGUGUUCCGGAUUUAUUGGGCGUAAAGCGAGCGCAGGCGGUUCCUUAAGUCUGAUGUGCAAGCCCACGGCUCAACCGUGGAAGGUCAUUGGAAACUGGGGAACUUGAGUGCAGAAGAGGAGAGUGGAAUUCCAUGUGUAGCGGUGAAAUGCGUAGAUAUAUGGAGGAACACCAGUGGCGAAGGCGACUCUCUGGUCUGUAACUGACGCGGAGGCUCGAAAGCGUGGGGAGAACACAGGAGGAGAUACCCCGGUAGUCC